AGCGGAGACGCAAACCCGGUUCCCCAGAUUACGAGUCCACCGCUCUACACCACGCUGGCUCUCCUGCUCAAGCAAAGCCAACAGCUUUCUGCUUUCCAGAGUGAGGGUGGAUCCAGCUACAUUGAUGCACUAAUCUCAUCUCCUGCACGGCUGUCCAUUUUCCUACACCUGCCUGGCCCAGGAGAGACGCUUCUCCCCAGAUGCCAUUAUGCUGGAGAUGUUCCAUGCAAGACACGUGAGUUCUUUUGUAUUCCUGAUCUUUUACAAUAGUAAAACUAAAGGAAAUUUA